rnacentral:rRNA from 1 species
GACAGAGGGUGCAAACGUUUGUUCGGAAUUACUGGGCGUAAAGCGCGUGUAGGCGGCUAUGUAAGUCGGGCGUGAAAUCCCACGGCUCAACCGUGGAAGUGCACUCGAAACUGCAUAGCUAGAGUCCUGGAGAGGAAGGUGGAAUGCUUGGUGUAGAGGUGAAAUUCGUAGAUAUCAAGCGGAACACCGGUGGCGAAGGCGGCCUUCUGGACAGUGACUGACGCUGAGACGGCGAAAGCGUGGGGAGCAAACAGG